rnacentral:rRNA from 1 species
UACGUAGGGGCAAGCGUUGUCCGGAUUUAUUGGGCGUAAAGAGCGUGUAGGCGGCUUGGUAGGUCCGCUGUGAAAACUCGAGGCUCAACCCUCGAGAUGUCGGCGGAAACCACUUGGCUAGAGUCCGGAAGAGGAGAGUGGAAUUCCCGGUGUAGCGGUGAAAUGCGCAGAUAUCGGGAAGAACACCUAUGGCGAAGGCAGCUCCUCUGGGACGGUAACUGGACGCUGAGACGCGAAAGCGUGGGGAGCGAACAGG